UCAAUUGAUGUAAUGUAGUGGUAAAGAUGACGGCCUGCAACGCCGGUGACUAGGGUUCGAUCCCCGAUCAGGAG